rnacentral:rRNA from 1 species
GAUGAACGCUGGCGGCGUGCCUAAUACAUGCAAGUCGAGCGAACAGACGAGGAGCUUGCUCCUCUGACGUUAGCGGCGGACGGGUGAGUAACACGUGGAUAACCUACCUAUAAGACUUGGAUAACUUCGGGAAACCGGAUCUAAUACCGUAUAAUAUAUUGAACCGUAUGGUUCAAUAAUGAAAGACGGUUUUGCUGUCACUUAUAGAUGGAUCCGCGCCUCAUUAGCUAGUUGGUAAGGUAACGGCUUACAAAGGCAACGAUGCGUAGCCGACUUGGGGGGGGGAUCGGCAACCUGGGACUUAGGCAACGCUCAGACUUCCUCCGGGAGGAGCAGGAAGGGAUCCUCCGGCAAGGGCGGAAGGCCUAACGGGCAAACGCCGCGGGAUGGAGAAGGGUUUCCGAUUCGAAAAACCUUUUGUAAGGGAAGAACGAAUGUUGUAGUUAAAAAUGCACGUUUUGACGGUACCUAAUCAGAAAGCCACGGCUAACUACGUG